AUACGGAGGAUCCGAGCGUUAUCCGGAUUUAUUGGGUUUAAAGGGUGCGCAGGCGGCCAUUUAAGUCAGCGGUUAAAUCGUGGGGCUCAACCCCAUUCUGCCGUUGAUACUGGGUGGCUUGAUUGCGGUCGAGGUUGGCGGAAUUCGUUGUGUAGCGGUGAAAUGCAUAGAUAUGAAGAAGAACACCGAUUGCGUAGGCAGCUGACCAGACCGCAAAUGACGCUCAUGCACGAAAGUGCGGGGAUCGAACAGGAUUAGAUACCCUGGUAGUCCGCACAGUAAACGAUGAAUACUUGUUUUCGGCGAUAUAAUGUCGGAGGCAAAGCGAAAGCGAUAAGUAUUCCACCUGGGGAGUACGCCGGCAACGGUGAAACUCAAAGGAAUUGGCGGGG
rnacentral:rRNA from 1 species